rnacentral:rRNA from 1 species
UACGUAGGGCGCAAGCGUUGUCCGGAAUUAUUGGGCGUAAAGAGCUCGUAGGCGGCCUGUUACGUCUGCUGUGAAAUCCCGGGGCUUAACCCCGGGCGUGCAGUGGAUACGGGCAGGCUGGAGGCAGGCAGGGGAGAACGGAAUUCCCGGUGUAGCGGUGAAAUGCGUAGAGAUUAGGAAGAACACCAGUGGCGAAGGCGGCUUUCUGGACUGUAACUGACGCUGAGGCAUGAAAGCGUGGGGAGCAAACAGG